UACGUAGGGCGCAAGCGUUGUCCGGAAUUAUUGGGCGUAAAGAGCUCGUAGGCGGCUUGUCACGUCGGGUGUGAAAGCCCGGGGCUUAACCCCGGGUCUGCAUUCGAUACGGGCAAGCUAGAGUGUGGUAGGGGAGAUCGGAAUUCCUGGUGUAGCGGUGGAAUGCGCAGAUAUCAGGAGGAACACCGAUGGCGAAGGCAGGUCUCUGGGCCGCAACUGACGCUGAGGAGCGAAAGCAUGGGGAGCGAACAGG
rnacentral:rRNA from 1 species